rnacentral:rRNA from 1 species
AUUAGUGGCCCUACCUGCUUCUUAAUGCCUGAUUUUGUGUCCUCUAAGACACUAAGCAGGUUUGGGUCUGGUUAGUGCUUGGAUGGGAGUCCACUGGGAAUACAAGGUGUCACAGUG